UACGAAGGGGGCAAGCGUUGUCCGGAUUUACUGGGCGUAAAGAGCGCGCAGGCGGUCGUGCAAGUCGCGUGUGAAAGCCCCCGGCUCCAACUGGGAGGGUGCGCCGAAUACUGAGUGACUCGAGUGCGGGAGAGGAGAGUGGAAUUCUGGUGUAGCGGUGAAAUGCGUAGAUAUCAGGAGGAACACCGGUGGUGUAGACGGCUCUCUGGACCGUAACUGACGCUGAGGAGCGAAAAGCAUGGGGAGCGAACAGG
rnacentral:rRNA from 1 species